GGGUUUCGUUAUGGUGGGCCCUGCCGGUCCCCUCGCAACGAUCAGCCGUGAACCCGGUCAGGCCCGGAAGGGAGCAGCCGCAGCGGUGACAUUGUGUGCCGGGGUGUGGCUGGUAGGGUUCACCUCCAUAACGCUC
rnacentral:SRP_RNA from 1 species